UUGUAAGGAUACUGUUGUUAACAAACUAGAAAGGAACAAUGCAGACAAAAAUAAGUCAAAGUUUUUAACUUCUACUUCAAAAUCUUUAGUACUUAUAUGUAUUAAUCAAUAUGUUGAAUAUACAGAUAGACCGAGAACAGAUUUAUUAAAGUAGAGAUUUCUUAAUAAAACAUACUUAUUAUGAGUUCAGUGAAUCGAAACCGAAACUCGAAUUCAAGAUUACUAAAGCUCUUAUUGAUGCAAUCAAGGAAUCGUUAUUACGGGGACUAUUUCAGCUUCGGACCUAAAUUACGCUGACAAAUGGAUGGAUGAAUACGAAAGAUGGCGCACCGUGGUCAUUCACCGUAACGAUUUAAUUAAUUGACUUUAUUGUUUACAUAGCAAAAAAUUCAAUGAUUAGGUACCUAGUUUAGUAGAAUUGUCGUCCGUUUUAAUACGAGAAAUAAAUAUGUAUAGUUUCUAUCUAA